AACGCACCUUGCGCUCCUUGGUAUUCCGAGGAGCAUGCCUGUUUGAGUGUCAUUAAAUCAUCAAUUCAUCCUUAUUUUGUAAGGCGGAAUUGGACUUGGAGACUUGCUGGACCUGUUCUAAUGGGCUCUGGCUUCUCUUGAAUGCAUUAGCUGGACUUUGAACGCGCAUAUAUGCAGUGUGAUAACUAUCUUCACUGUGUGCGAGUUCGAUUAGAUUUCGGCUUCUAAUAGUCUAUCUCUAUAGACAAUCUCUUUGACCAUCUGGCCUCAAAUCAGGUAGGAUUACCCGCUGAACUUAA
rnacentral:misc_RNA from 1 species